GACGAACGCUGGCGGCGUGCUUAACACAUGCAAGUCGAACGGAAAGGCCCUGCUUGCCGGGUACUCGAGUGGCGAACGGGUGAGUAACACGUGGGUGAUCUGCCCUGCACUUCGGGAUAAGCCUGGGAAGCUGGGUCUAAUACCGGAUAGGAGCCAUUUUUAGUGUGAUGGUUGGAAAGUUUUUUCGGUGUAGGAUGAGCUCGCGGCCUAUCAGCUUGUUGGUGGGGUAAUGGCCUACCAAGGCGGCGACGGGUAGCCGGCCUGAGAGGGUGGACGGCCACAUUGGGACUGAGAUACGGCCCAGACUCCUACGGGAGGCAGCAGUGGGGAAUAUUGCACAAUGGGCGCAAGCCUGAUGCAGCGACGCCGCGUGGGGGAUGACGGCCUUCGGGUUGUAAACUCCGUUCGCUAGGGACGAAGCUUUUUGUGACGGUACCUAGAUAAGAAGCACCGGCUAACUACGUG
rnacentral:rRNA from 1 species